UACGGAGGGUGCAAGCGUUAUCCGGAUUCACUGGGUUUAAAGGGUGCGUAGGCGGGUAGAUAAGUCAGUGGUGAAAUCUCCGAGCUUAACUCGGAAACUGCCAUUGAUACUAUUUAUCUUGAAUAUUGUGGAGGUAAGCGGAAUAAGUCAUGUAGCGGUGAAAUGCUUAGAUAUGACAUAGAACACCAAUUGCGAAGGCAGCUUACUACACAAUGAUUGACGCUGAGGCACGAAAGCGUGGGGAUCAAACAGG
rnacentral:rRNA from 1 species